rnacentral:rRNA from 1 species
ACGGAAGGCAGCAGUGGGGAAUAUUGGGCAAUGGGCGAAAGCCUGACCCAGCAACGCCGCGUGAAGGAAGAAGGCCUUCGGGUUGUAAACUUCUUUUACCAGGGACGAAGGACGUGACGGUACCUGGAGAAAAAGCAACGGCUAACUACGUGCCAGCAGCCGCGGUAAUACGUAGGUUGCAAGCGUUGUCCGGAUUUACUGGGUGUAAAGGGCGUGUAGACGGAGAGGCAAGUCAGAUGUGAAAUCCCGGGGCUCAACCCCGGAACUGCAUUUGAAACUGUCUCCCUUGAGUAUCGGAGAGGCAAGCGGAAUUCCUGGUGUAGCGGUGAAAUGCGUAGAUAUCAGGAGGAACACCGGUGGCGAAGGCGGCUUGCUGGGCUUUUACUGACGCUGAGGCUCGAAAGCGUGGGGAGCAAACAGGAUUAGAUACCCUGGUA